GCAUUCUGGGCAUCAGUCAGGAGUCAAAGGCUCCUUCCUCAAAGGCUGCAGACUAAGUUUGCCUUUGUGCUGCGGUGUGGCUUCCAUUUCAAAGUCUCCAUCGGCGAAUCGCGUAGCCAUGAGUGUGCAGCACAUGACCACCUGAGUAUGGCCACCUGAAUGCCGCUGCCUCCGUCGUCCCCUCUGCUGUGGCAGGACACUCAGCCCCCCUGAAGCUCUCCCACCAUCUCUGGGGUCUCCAGGGCCAUCGCCUGUGUGCUCUGCUCUGUCGGUGCAGCCAGUCUCCAUGGCGGUUACCAAAGGCUCUGUGUGCCGAACCUUGGCAGGACGCUUGGCAGGGGGGAUGGACAAUGGCCUUCCCGGCUGCAUCAGUCCCUGACGAGGUCCUGAAGCAAGGCCACUUGGACCUCCACACACCAGCCUUCCAGUCACUGCUUGCAGUCUUCUGCCCUCACCUUGAACCCAACCUUGCGUCCAGGAGCCCUGCUGAGUAGAAGUUCCGGAGGGCAGACGACCAAAAUGGAAGAGCCGGCAUGGGCGCAUUCCUGCGGGAGGCUUCAAAGAAUAUCUCUUCCUUCUUCCAACUUCUGGUGGUUCCUGAUGUUCCCGGACUCCAGUUUCUGCCUCCAUCUUUCCAUGUCUUCUCCUUCUUGCUGCCUGUCUCUCCUCUGUGUUUCUCUCUCUCUCUUUAAAGUCUAUCAUUUUAGUUUUUAAAAGUAUCUAUUGAUUUGGCUGUGUUGAGUCUUAGCUGCAGCAUGCAGGAUCUUGGUUGGGUCAUGUGGGAU